rnacentral:lncRNA from 1 species
AGAAGAUAUUUCCACCCUGCCUAGUAGAUGUGUUUCAGAAUCUUCACUUGGCCAUCAUCUUUGCUUUUUCUUAAACUAUGUUCAAAUAAAGGCAGCAAGUUUUAGCAUUGGCAGUUGAUUAUAUGUUGAUUUCUGAAACACUGUUCAUUUGAACACUUUCAGGGUGACAGUGUAUGCCCAAACUGGUAUUUAUCUGCAAAGAGUUGUAGGAAAGGGGUAUGCUGUUAGGCAUGUUUUAAAGCUUCAGUGUUGUGCCUUGUCUCUUGUUGAAAAGGAGGAGUGACCGAAGAGCAUUUAACCAUGUGGCAAGCACUUCACAACUAUGAUCUCGUUUAAUCCUUACAGCAGUUCUUGGGGGUGUGUGUGGAAUUUGAUGGGGAAUCUUGGAGGAAAAGAAGAUGGAUAGAAGUCUACAGCCUUCUAAGGAGAGCAUUUUUAGUAGAACAUA